UGGGGAAUAUUGGACAAUGGGCGCAAGCCUGAUCCAGCAAUGCCGCGUGUGUGAAGAAGGCCUUCGGGUUGUAAAGCACUUUUAUCAGGAGCGAAACGCUGUCGGCUAAUACCCGGCGGAACUGACGGUACCUGAGGAAUAAGCACCGGCUAACUUCGUGCCAGCAGCCGCGGUAAUACGAAGGGUGCAAGCGUUAAUCGGAAUUACUGGGCGUAAAGCGUGCGUAGGCGGUUUCUUAAGUCUGCUGUGAAAUCCCCGGGCUCAACCCGGGAAUGGCAGUGGAUACUGGGAGGCUAGAGUGUGUCAGAGGGUGGUGGAAUUCCCGGUGUAGCGGUGAAAUGCGUAGAGAUCGGGAGGAACAUCAGUGGCGAAGGCGGCCACCUGGGACAACACUGACGCUGAGGCACGAAAGCGUGGGGAGCAAACAGGAUUAGAUACCCUGGUAGUCCACGCCCUAAACGAUGCGAACUGGAUGUUGGUCUCAACUCGGAGAUCAGUGUCGAAGCUAACGCGUUAAGUUCGCCGCCUGGGGAGUACGGUCGCAAGACUGAAACUCAAAGGAAUUGACGGGGUCAUAGCUGUUUCCUG
rnacentral:rRNA from 1 species